UUAGAUUCUUCACAUGUCAGAAGAACAUUUUUGGUCUCGAUGAUGACAACUUGAUUUCUUAAUAAUAUUGUGUUUUUGGUGAAAGUUUACAUACCAAAUUAGGUUCCCAUUUAACAAUUUCUACACAAAUUGUUCAGUGACUUUGGUUACGUUUUCCACAGUGUGAACAUUCUUAUUAUUUCAUUCAGCGAGUUCCAUUUCCAGUAAUCUAGUUUAUCUGCCCAUUACCUUCUUUUCUUUCUCUAUUAGAGUAAUUGUUGAUUGUUUGGUCUUGUAGAUGAUUUUUUAAAGGAACGAUGCGCUCGUAGGUGAUGUUCUUUAUUUUAUAAGCCAAUUUGUUAUUUAGCUAAAAGAUGACCUCAGGGGAUAGUUUCAGUUCAAAGUGUAAGGGGUUUCUUUUUCUUACAAUGAGUAUAGAGGUCGUCAUCUCAAUGUCCAACACAGCUUCUCCAGCAACAGUCUCAUUGAACCUUUCUGCUUUCCUGUCCUUCGUGAGUAACUACUGAACAUCUGAGGACUGUGGUCUCAUUCCAGGAACAAAGAAGAGGAAAGAUGAAGGGGGAAGGACAAGUGGCUGUAUCAGGACUUAGAACAUUUCCAGAAACCUCAGCCAAAUUCUGCUUAUAUCUUGGUGUUCUGAACCACGUCCCACAGCCACCUUAACUGCCGAGGAGUCUGGUGCUAAGGAGCCUCGGUGGCACAGUGGUUAAAGCAAUGGACAGCUAACUGAAAGAGCACUUUACAAGCAUUAUUCUGAUUUGUUCCUACAAUGAUCAUGAAUCAGAGGGAGGAAGAAUUCUCAGGCCGUUCCUUAGAAGAGAGCAACAGGGAGCAGGCACAGCCGUGUGCAAGUGGGCGUCUUAUGGGACCUGAUCCAGGUUCAGAGGGUAACCUGGAGGAGAAUGACAGCUAAAGAAAUUCUAGAGGCUGCAAAUUAAGUUGAUGCGUCCAUCAGUACCUCAGGUGAUGACUCCUUCUGCUACCAAGAGUGUGGGUUGCCAGAGAGAGCCCUCAAGAUGACACAGAUGCGUACCACAUUGCUCAGCGGGCUGGGCAGACAGCAACUGCUAUCAGGAAAGCAUCUGGUAGACUUGGGGAGAAAGAGGAUUGCUGCUAUUUCCUGACAAGAUCUGUGGGAGGCCCAGGGAUGGAGUGCUUCGAGCAAUGAAUUGACCCUCUGCCUUCUUCCAGAUCAAAUGGUCCAGGAUGGAGUUUAUAGCUCUUAUUUCUGAUGCUAUAAGGUUCAAGGCAGCAACCUUGGGAGCACUUAGGCUCAAUUUGAUUUUUAUUGUUUCAUGAAAUGGGAAUUGCUUUCUGCCAGUCAGUAAAGCAGCAGGUGUCCCGCUCGUGUAAUGGAUAUGGACGGACCAUCACUGUUUGUGAUAGCAGUUUAACCGCCUGGCAGUCUUAUUAGUGGGGAUGUUGGAACUACAGGAUUUUCAUCCGCCUCAGGGAUAAUUCUUUAUCCAUGUCAGCAUUAACGUUGUUACAUCUAACAGGUUAUGGCCACUUCAGAAAGAAGGGCAAGUUCAAAGUCUCUGAAGUUUGAAAUGCACCAGAAGAGGAAAGGAGCUGAGAGAAUGAGGGACCUGAGCAGUCAGGAGGUUUAUUGGAAACGUGUCUGAAAUGUAAGCCAAGCAAUCAAAUGUUCCAGGAAAUAAUGGAAAAGCCAACCUAGCAGGUAAAAGAAACGUUAUUGAAGAAAUCAGCUAAACCUCAGAAGAGAAGCAUAAUGCUUAAGGCAAAAAUCUUUAUUAGUUUAGGGAUGGAAAAAUGAUCAGUCAUUUUUCCUGGAUGCAAAAAAAAAAAAAAACAAAACAUCCGAAAUGUCCUCAGUUCUCAAUUACCUGCCCCAAUUGAGCAGAUGUCCUAUUGAAGUGUACAUGAAAGAACAGGUUAUAAAAGGAAGCUUAACUUGGCUUUACCAAAAAACCCACUACUGUCGAGUUGAUUUCCAGCUCAUGGUGACCAUAUAGGACAGAGUAGAACCGCUCCAUAGGAUUUCCAAGACUGUAAUCUUUAUGGAAGCAGACUGCCACAUCUUUCUCCUGUGGAGCAGCUGGUGGGUUUCAACUGCUGACCUUUCAGUUAGCAGCCAGACACUUAGCAACUGUGCCACCAGGGCUCUUUAACUUGGCUUUGGAGGGCAAUAAAAACCUCCUCAUCAUAUCGCUGUUAGCUGCUGUUUAGUCAGCCCUCGAUUGAUGGUGACCUCAUGCACUAUGGAAUGAAAUACUGUCUGGUCCCUGUGAUCCGUUCUGCAUUGGACCACUGUGAUCUAUAUGGGUUUUGUUAUAAAACUGAUUUUCAGAAGUAGAUCGUCAGGCCUUUCUUCCUGGUAUGUCUUAGCCUGGAAGCUCCACUAAAACCUGUUCAGCAACUGGCAGGCUGUCAUUUUCCUGUUCAUCAUGUUUGUUGCCUGUCCUUUCCUCACUAGCACGCAAGUUCCAUGAGGGCAGGGAUCUUGCUUUGUUUUAGUCACUGAUGUAUCUUAAGCACCUAGAGCAGUACCUAGCACAUAAAAAAAAAAAAAAAAAAUUUUUUUUUUUUUUUUUU